rnacentral:rRNA from 1 species
AACGAACGCUGGCGGCAUGCCUAACACAUGCAAGUCGAACGAGACCUUCGGGUCUAGUGGCGCACGGGUGCGUAACGCGUGGGAACCUGCCCUUAGGUUCGGAAUAACUCCCCGAAAGGGGUGCUAUACCGGAUAAUGUCUUCGGACCAAAGAUUUAUCGCCUUUGGAUGGGCCCGCGUUGGAUUAGCUAGUUGGUAGGGUAAAAGCCUACCAAUGCGACGAUCCAUAGCUGGUCUGAGAGGAUGAUCAGCCACACUGGGACUGAGACACGGCCCAGACUCCUACGGGAGGCAGCAGUGGGGAAUAUUGGACAAUGGGCGAAAGCCUGAUCCAGCAAUGCCGCGUGAGUGAUGAAGGCCUUAGGGUUGUAAAGCUCUUUUACCCGGGAUGAUAAUGACAGUACCGGGAGAAUAAGCUCCGGCUAACUCCGUG